rnacentral:rRNA from 1 species
GACGAACGCUGGCGGCGUGCUUAACACAUGCAAGUCGAACGGAAAGGCCCCGCUUUUGUGGGGUGCUCGAGUGGCGAACGGGUGAGUAACACGUGAGUAACCUGCCCUUGACUUUGGGAUAACUUCAGGAAACUGGGGCUAAUACCGGAUAGGAGCUCCUGCUGCAUGGUGGGGGUUGGAAAGUUUCGGCGGUUGGGGAUGGACUCGCGGCUUAUCAGCUUGUUGGUGGGGUAGUGGCUUACCAAGGCUUUGACGGGUAGCCGGCCUGAGAGGGUGACCGGCCACAUUGGGACUGAGAUACGGCCCAGACUCCUACGGGAGGCAGCAGUGGGGAAUAUUGCACAAUGGGCGGAAGCCUGAUGCAGCAACGCCGCGUGCGGGAUGACGGCCUUCGGGUUGUAAACCGCUUUCGCCUGUGACGAAGCGUGAGUGACGGUAAUGGGUAAAGAAGCACCGGCUAACUACGCG